rnacentral:rRNA from 1 species
AACAAACGCUGGCGGCGUGCCUAACACAUGCAAGUCGUACGAGAAAUCUUGGGUAACUGAGAGAGUAAAGUGGCGCACGGGUGAGUAACGCGUGGGUAACCUACCCUUGAAUUGGGGAUAACUUUCCGAAAGGAAGGUUAAUACCGAAUAAUGUUCUGAUCUCCACGGAGGUUGGAAUCAAAGGUGGCCUCUGCAUGCAAGCUACUGUUUAAGGAUGGGCCCGCGUACCAUUAGCUAGUUGGCAGGGUAAUGGCCUACCAAGGCAGCGAUGGUUAGCUGGUCUGAGAGGAUGGCCAGCCACACUGGAACUGAGACACGGUCCAGACUCCUACGGGUGGCUG